rnacentral:rRNA from 1 species
UGCAGAGGGGGCAAGCGUUGUUCGGAAUUACUGGGCGUAAAGGGCGCGUAGGCGGCCUUCUAAGUCGAACGUGAAAUCCCUGGGCUCAACCCAGGAACUGCGUCCGAUACUGGAAGGCUUGAAUCCGGGAGAGGGAUGCGGAAUUCCAGGUGUAGCGGUGAAAUGCGUAGAUAUCUGGAGGAACACCGGUGGCGAAGGCGGCAUCCUGGACCGGCAUUGACGCUGAGGCGCGAAAGCCAGGGGAGCAAACGGG